CUUGUAGGCGGUCUACUAAGUCGGUUGUGUAAGCCCAUGGCUUAACCAUGGAAUUGCGACCGAUACUGGUGGACUUGAGUGCAGGAGAGGAGGGCGGAAUUCCAUGUGUAGCGGUGAAAUGCGUAGAUAUAUGGAGGAACACCGGUGGCGAAGGCGGCUCUCUGGACUGCAACUGACGCUGAGGAGCGAAAGCGUGGGGAGCAAACAGGAUUAGAUACCCUGGUAGUCC
rnacentral:rRNA from 1 species